ncrna:unclassified sequences L19-Flavobacteria ribosomal protein leader
UAACCUCUGGCGAAAGACGUGCAUGUUG